UACGUAGGGUGCAAGCGUUGUCCGGAAUUAUUGGGCGUAAAGAGCUCGUAGGCGGCUUGUCGCGUCGGUUGUGAAAGCCCGGGGCUUAACCCCGGGUCUGCAGUCGAUACGGGCAGGCUAGAGUGUGGUAGGGGAGAUCGGAAUUCCUGGUGUAGCGGUGAAAUGCGCAGAUAUCAGGAGGAACACCGGUGGCGAAGGCGGAUCUCUGGGCCAUUACUGACGCUGAGGAGCGAAAGCGUGGGGAGCGAACAGG
rnacentral:rRNA from 1 species